AGGGUUCGAUUAUGGCUCAGAACGUACGCUGGCGGCACGCCUAACACAUGCAAGUCGAACGCAGUAGCAAUACUGAGUGGCAAACGGGUGAGUAUAAUGUGGGAAUCUGCCUUUUGGUUUGGAAUAACACGGGGAAACUUGUGCUAAUACCGAAUAAGCCCUUACGGGGAAAGUUUUAAUGCCGAAAGAUGAGCCUGCACUUGAUUAGCUAGUUGGUAAGGUAAAAGCUUACCAAGGCAACGAUCAAUAGCUGUUCUUAGAGGAAGACCAGCCACAUUGGGACUGAGACACGGCCCAGACUCCUACGGGAGGCAGCAGUGGGGAAUCUUGCACAAUGGGGGAAACCCCGAUGCAGCGAUGCCGCGUGAGUGAAGAAGGCCUUUGGGUUGUAAAACUCUUUCGUCGGGGAAGAAAAUGACUGUACCCGAAUAAGAAGGUCCGGCUAACUUCGUGCCAGCCGCCGCGGUAAUUC
rnacentral:rRNA from 1 species